UACAACUACCUGUUAUCGCUCGGCGGCGGUAGCCGUGGUAUAAGCCUCUAUUCGUCGCGUUAGGUUUGAAAUUUACAGCGGCGAAACCGCGGAGCUCAAUCAUUUGUAUGCGCGAAGGAGUAGCGCUCUCUCAGUGGCCGUACUAUAUAAGAGACUCAUCCGGUUAGUAAAUGUUCCAAUUUAUGUUUAUUUUUUUGGCAUGCAAUUCGGAUGAACCGAUGGGACUAUGCUUUACAUAUGAAGAAAGGGUAAAAGAAGACGUGGAAAAAUUAAACCAGGUGAAGAUUGGAAGGAAUUAUUAUUAGAAAAGGAAAACUGGAGGCAUAUAUACUGGACGGCAUGGUCUUGAACUGAAAACCAUGCAGAACAAGAAGAAGAAGAAGAAAAAGAAGAUGA